rnacentral:rRNA from 1 species
UACGGAGGGUGCAAGCAUUAAUCGGAUUUAUUGGGCGUAAAGGGCGCGUAGGCGGCAGUGCCAGUCAGAUGUGAAAUCCCGGAGCUCAACUCCGGAACAGCAUUUGAAACUACAUUUCUAGAGGGUAGGCGGAGAAAACGGAAUUCCACAAGUAGCGGUGAAAUGCGUAGAUAUGUGGAAGAACACCAGUGGCGAAGGCGGUUUUCUAGCUUAUUCCUGACGCUAAAGCGCGAAAGCAAGGGGAGCAAACAGG